rnacentral:rRNA from 1 species
AUUGAACGCUGGCGGCAUGCUUUACACAUGCAAGUCGGACGAGUGGCGAACGGGUGAGUAACGCCUCGGAACGUACCGAGUAAAGGGGGAUAACUAUCCGAAAGGGCAGCUAAUACCGCAUAUUAUCCGAGCUGCCGAUGUCGGAUUAGCUGGUUGGCGGGGUAAAGGCCUACCAAGCCGACGAUCCCUAGCUGGUCUGAGAGGAUGACCAGCCACACGGGGACUGAGACACGGCCCGGACUCCUACGGGAGGCAGCAGUGGGGAAUAUUGCGCAAUGGGGGCAAGCCUGAUGCAGCCAUGCCGCGUGAAUGAAGAAGGCCUUCGGGUUGUAAAGUACUUUCGGUGAGGAGGCGUUAAUCACAGAAGAAGCACCGGCUAACUCCGUGCCAGCAGCCGCGGUAAUUC